CGGUGGACUAACACAUGCAAGUCGAGCGGAUGAAGGGAGCUUGCUCCUGGAUUCAGCGGCGGACGGGUGAGUAAUGCCUAGGAAUCUGCCUGGUAGUGGGGGAUAACGUCCGGAAACGGGCGCUAAUACCGCAUACGUCCUGAGGGAGAAAGUGGGGGAUCUUCGGACCUCACGCUAUCAGAUGAGCCUAGGUCGGAUUAGCUAGUUGGUGGGGUAAAGGCCUACCAAGGCGACGAUCCGUAACUGGUCUGAGAGGAUGAUCAGUCACACUGGAACUGAGACACGGUCCAGACUCCUACGGGAGGCAGCAGUGGGGAAUAUUGGACAAUGG
rnacentral:rRNA from 1 species